ACAAUUGUUGAUAGUUUCUUCUAAUUUUGAUGCAGCUCCUGAAGUAGUUGAGAAGCCUGGGGAUAAUUCAUUAGCCAGGCUUAAAAUUUUGUAUACUCAAGCAAAAGAUCUUUCAGAUAGUGAAGCACAAAUUUCCUCUUUACUGAUAAACCAACUUGAUACACUACUGCCUUCAGGACAAGGUCAACCGCGAAGAAGAAUAGG